rnacentral:lncRNA from 1 species
CACAGACUGUAAAACUUACUUUUUCACACAAGAACAUUACACUACAGUAUUACUAGUGUAUCGAUUUUUUUUCUAAGCGCUUCUUCCAAUUCUGGACCGCGGAGGCGCACAACAUAUUUUAUUUUCAAUUAUUAUACUGAAAACAAUCCUCAAGACCUUUAAAAAAUAAACACUAAAUUAAAAAUAAGACCCAAACACGUAUUACAGGUUGAUGUUUUAUAUUCAUUUACCCGUAGUCUAUUAAUAAAAAAAGUGUAUGUCUACAUUUCAUGAUACCGUGUUCAGUAUUACCCGAAAAGAGCUCACACUCCAUCGUACAAUGUACCCAAAUAGCUUUUUGGUAGACCUGUAAAUAAAAAAAAUACUAUAAUAAACAUGAUCUGCUAAAAGGAUCACGCUUCACUGGCUUGGGCUCAAGACAGGCGUGGCAGUUGCUACUGGAAACGGUUUGGUGUGACUUCCGGUUGAAGACGAAACGAUUCUUGACGUAAAAUAUGAAACUAUUAAAAUCUAAAAAUUAAAAAAAAAUCACUUCAGUUCAGUUCUUGAGACAAAAUAGCGAAGAAAAUGUCUGGAAAUUUGAGACCAACUCCAAAACCAUCUAAACAAUCUCCUGCUCAGAAAAAUGGGAAGCGAAAUGCCUUGGCCCCAACCAUUAACUGGUCAUCCUCAACCUCUUUGACCUCUAUAGAAGCUGAAUACAUUAAAAAUCUCCAGGAACAGGUUUAUCUUCUGGAGCUGGAAACAGCUUAUUUGCGUGAGAAGUCAGUAAAAGCUAUCAACAUUCAGCCAAAAGUCAGAUUACAGGCAGAGAGGACACUGCAUAAAAUGAAGGCUUUGCAAGCAGAGGUUGACAGUGCCACCAUGUCAGUUGAUAAAAAGGAUAAGUGCAUUGCAAGUCUGAAAUCAGAGAAGAAACAACUGCAAUGCGAGCUUCAGUCCAUGACUGAUACUAACUUCAGAAACAAAUUGCUAUUGACCGUGGAGCUGGAACAACUAAAGAAACUGAAAGAGGUUACUAGCCAAGAUUUGGACCACAAGACCAAGGAGCUAUUAAAUAUGAAAAGAGAGCUGGAGAGAACAUCAAUUACUGUCAAAGAGAAAGAGGAAAAGAUCAGGCUUUUGGAAGCCCAGCUGAAAUGGAAGGUGCAGCAUCAGCAGAGCACAGAAGCAGAGCUGGCAAAGAAGCGAGCAGAGCUGCUGGAAGCACAGGCUUCUCUCUACUGUCUGGAGGAGAAACAUCUUACAAGCACAGGCUCCAUUCAAGAGCACAUUGCCAAAGAGCUUCGUGAGGAGAUACGACACCUGAGGAUGCAGCUGACAGAAAGGCAGCUCUCGGGAGAAGAGGAUGACUAUGUGAAGAGUAAACUGGCAGAAAACUGUAGACGACUAACCAAAGAAAAUGCACAGCUCCUUUCACAAAUAACAGAAGUAUCCAAGCAGCUUGAAAAGUUCCAUGCGCUUAGGAAUGAAGACAAUAUGCGCAAAUCUAGCAGCAUUACAGAACUUGCAUCAUUGAAAGACCAGGAGAGACAGCUGGAGUGGGAGCUAGCCAACUGGAAACGAUCAGUGAAUGAGGAGAAGAUGAAAGUUUUGCAGUCUAUGGCAGAGCUACAUGAUCUGGAGCAAGUGAAAAGCUCAGCACAGGAGAAAAGGGCUUCUCUCGGCAGCCUGCUUUCAGAACUGGAAGGAAAGUACUCCAAGAUUCACACAGAAAAUGCAGAAAUCCGCGGCGAGAAAGUACAACUCGUGGAUUACAUAUCCCAGCUUAAUAAACAGAUUUUUGAUAAGGAGGAAGAAAUUCGGGGUUUGAAGAACCACACCCACACCUUAUCCAAUGAUCUGUCAAGCCUGAGAUGCUAGGCAAAAGUGUAAUUAAUUGACUGCAUCACACACAUCAUUUCUCUGAAUAAAGACAAACACCAGCCACAAAUAUAUAAAUCAAAAUAUAUUUGCUGUAUACUGGAUACACCUUGUUGAUGUUUCACAUGCAGAAUAUUUGCAAAAGUGUACUGCUCCUUUCAAUAUUUUCACAUUCUGAUUAAUUUUAAGUAAUGAACAGUGAUGACAACCUAUUAUUAAAAUUGUUGGGUCCAGGACAGCAGACACAUACUGUACAUAAACAGCUGUAAAGUUUGAGAAAAUAGUGCUCUUUAUUUUACAGCGAGGGAAAAUCAAAACAGACGCCAGAAACCAAACCAAACAAACAAAAAAACUAAAUCUUAGCUCCUUUUUCAGCUCUUGACUAGACUUUGUCCCCAUCUAUCAUACUGGGCAGGUAAGUUAAAUGUGAUUCACAUAAGGCCGCCAUGUUAUCUAAACCUGCUGUACUCUUAUAGUGAAGGAAGCUGAAUUUCAACAAAAUCUGGAAAGAAGAUAUUUUGAGUGAAUUUUGUACUAAACCCCAUAAGUUAGUACUUUGUGGAAGCAUCUUUGGUAGAAAUGACUGCUGCCAGCAUUGCACAGUAGGAUGAUAUAAUUUUCACUAUUCUUCCUAGUAGAAUUGCUCCAGUUUUGACAGGUUCAUUGGAGUUAUUUAAUGGACUAUAACUGUCAAACUUUACCAUAGUAUAGUAUGUAUUCUUAACAUAAAAUCUUAUUUGAAAGCAUUGUGAUAGCAAGCCCAGACAGCAACAGAAUGUGGAAACAUUGCAAAGGGUGAUUACGUUUGCAAGGCAGUGUACAGUACAUUGUAAUUCCUCAUUGUGUGUUAUAUUCCAAAGACUUUUGUAUAGCUGCAUACCUUAUGUGUAGUUUAUUGUAUUCCAUUCCAAUCCUACUUGGAGUCACAACUUUGUGUUUAGAUUAUACCUAAAAAGUAUUGUCCUCUAGAUUUGUUAAUAAAUUAUCAGAUUUAUGAAACAGGGAAAUAUCUACUUAAAAGCACUGUAAAGAGGACAUUUACCAUACAUGUACAACUCAUACUUGUACCAUGACAAUGACAUUAUGUAGAAAGUACAGUCUGUCUUUCAGCUAAAUAUUGAAUGGGUGGCAAUCCUGAGGGAAAAAAUAAUUUUAGAUUUCAAUCUUGGAUGGUGUACCUUCUGAAUAUGACAUUAAAAGUGAUUUAAUAAAUUCUCCUUCAACCUUAU